rnacentral:rRNA from 1 species
UACGUAGGGGGCGAGCGUUGUCCGGAUUUAUUGGGCGUAAAGAGCUCGUAGGCGGUUUGGCAAGUCGGGUGUGAAAACUCCGGGCUCAACUCGGAGACGCCACUCGAUACUGCUAUGACUCGAGUCCGGUAGGGGAGUGCGGAAUUCCUGGUGUAGCGGUGAAAUGCGCAGAUAUCAGGAGGAACACCGGUGGCGAAGGCGGCACUCUGGGCCGGUACUGACGCUGAGGAGCGAAAGCGUGGGGAGCGAACAAG